ACUCCUACGGGAGGCAGCAGUGAGGAAUAUUGGACAAUGGGCGCAAGCCUGAUCCAGCCAUGCCGCGUGCAGGAUGACGGUCCUAUGGAUUGUAAACUGCUUUUGUACAGGAAGAAACACUCCCUCGUGAGGGAGCUUGACGGUACUGUAAGAAUAAGGAUCGGCUAACUCCGUGCCAGCAGCCGCGGUAAUAC
rnacentral:rRNA from 2 species